rnacentral:rRNA from 1 species
UACAGAGGUCCCGAGCGUUGUUCGGAUUCACUGGGCGUAAAGGGUGCGUAGGCGGUCGGGUAAGUCUGAUGUGAAAUCUCACAGCUUAACUGUGAAACUGCAUUGGAUACUAUUCGGCUUGAGGUCUGGAGGGGGGACUGGAAUUCUCGGUGUAGCAGUGAAAUGCGUAGAGAUCAGGAGGAACACCGGUGGCGAAGGCGGUUCUCUGGGACGGUACUGACGCUGAGACGCGAAAGCGUGGGGAGCGAACAGG